rnacentral:rRNA from 1 species
UACGUAGGGCGCAAGCGUUGUCCGGAAUUAUUGGGCGUAAAGAGCUCGUAGGCGGUCUGUCACGUCUGCCGUGAAAACCCGAGGCUUAACCUCGUGGCUUGCGGUGGAUACGGGCAGACUAGAGGUAGGUAGGGGAGAAUGGAAUUCCCGGUGUAGCGGUGAAAUGCGCAGAUAUCGGGAGGAACACCGGUGGCGAAGGCGGUUCUCUGGGCCUUACCUGACGCUGAGGAGCGAAAGCGUGGGGA